rnacentral:lncRNA from 1 species
AUGAACUUUUUAAUAAUCCAAGGAGGGAGGAAAGCCCUCGGUCCCCUCGGCUCGGGGGGCGCCCAGCCCGGCUCUGCUCCCCGGGGGCGCCCCAUCACCCCCCUCCCACGUCCUCUGCGGACAGCUCUGAGGGGGCGCGCGCACCGCAGGGCCUCCUCCGGUCUCUGCGGCUGGGGUCCAUCUGACUGUCUGAGGCUUUGGAACAGAUUAUCGCAGCCCUUUCAGAGCGCGCACAACAAAUGCGCCCGCCAUCGAAUGCAGCAUUUACCACCGCAGAUCCGCGCGCCGAUGGGCAGGCAGAUAGCGUCCGCGGGGGGCUCGCCGGGCGGCGAGUGUGCGCCCCGGCUCUGCCCGGUGUGUUUGGAGGAACACGUGGGUAUGCCAGCGAGUGGACCCUCAGCAAGCAAGAAUGUGAGUGUGCGAAUGUUCCUGUAGAGUCUUCGGAAACAGGUCACGGUCGAGGCAAGAAUACAGAAUCUUAAACCAGUGAUGGGAGAAGCCAAGACCCAGCCAGGGGACAUCAGCACACAAAGAGUUCACCAGCCGUGUCCUGAAAUUGGGGGAAGAACACACAAAAUAUAAGAGUCAUGGUUUCCUGCUUCAAAGUUUAUACCCAACUAAACUAUCCACCAAGCAAAAUAAUAAAGAUACUUUCAGACUUGCAGGUUCUUAAAACAUUUGUCUUCCAUAUUACCCAGCUUCUGAAAUUCCUAGAGGAUAUGUUUGACCAUUAUGAGGCAGAAAGCCAAAAGAGGAAGGUCUGGCAUACCUGCGUGUGCUAGCUAGUUUUAUGUCUACUUGACACAAGCUAGACUCAAUGGAAAGGAAGGAACCUCAGUUGAAGAAAUGCUUCCAUAAGAUCUGACUGUAGGGUAUUUUCUUAUUAGUGAUUGAUGUGGGAGGGCCCAGUCCAUUGUGGUCCAGGGUUCUAUGAGAGAGCAGGCUGAGCAAGCCAUGAUGAGCAAGAUGGUAAGCAGCACCCUUCCAUGGCUUCUUCAUUAGCUCCUGCCUCCAGGUUCCUGCCCUGCUGGAGUUCCUGUUUUGACAUCUUUCAGUGAUGGACUAUGAUGUGGAAGUAUAAGCCACACAACCUUUUCCUCCUCAAAUUGCUUUUGGUCUUGUAUUGGUAACUAACUAAGACACUCUAAGAUAUUGGAGACACAGGCGUGUACCACACAGGGAAAGGAAGCCAGCAGAUGACCUUCUCUAGGUUGUAGCUGAGAAGAUGCAGUUUGUCCUGUUAGUCUUCUAGAUUCCAAACUUGUGGUUAGCAAAGAAAAACGCCCUACCAAAGAGAACAGGUCCAAGACAUCACCUUCAGAGGGCAGCCUGUUGGGAACGGGGAAAAAUUAGCUGUUUAUUCCAAACAGUUUAUGAUGACCUAACAAAGCAGUGCUCUCGUUGGGUGGGAGCCUUGGAGGAUGGGAGCAGGCACAGUUCUGGCAAAGUUCUCUUGAAACACAACUGAAAGCAGAAACUCAAGCUGUGGCCUGACAAGCCUUCAAAGAUAUGGAGGCUAGUAUUGUAUGAGCUUGUGUUCAAAUGCUUGUUUUAGGAACUCAGUUGGAAGGACUUCCCUUGCAAGAUUGAAGAGCUAAGUUUGAUCCCCAGAACCCACAUUUUAAAAAGCCAGGGAUGGGGGCUGGAGAGAUGGCUUGGCGGUUGCUUUUCCAGAGGACCCAGGUUCAAUUCCCAGCACCCAUAUGGCAGUUCACAACUGUCUAUAACUCCAGUUCCAGGGGAUCUGACACUUUCACACUAAUGCACAUGAAAUAAAUUUAAAUAAAUUCUUUUUUUAAGAUUUUAUUUAUUUAUUUAUUUAUUAUACAACAUUCUGCUUCCAUGUAUAUCUGCACACCAGAAGAGGGCACCAGAUCUCAUAAUGGAUAGUUGUGAGCCACCAUGUGGUUGCUGGGAAUUGAACUCAGGAACUCUGGAAGAGCAGGCAAUGCUCUUAACCUCUGAGCCAUCUCUCCAACCCCUUAAAUAAAUUCUAUAAAAAAAGAAAUCAUUAAAAAAAAGCCAAGGAUGGCACUUGUAACCCCUGGGGCUCAAUGACCAGUUACAGUCUUUUGUUGUUCACAACUGGACUCCAGCCCACGGCCACCUCCACAACUGUCCCAUCCAGAGCAGUGGUUCUCAACCUUCCUAAUGCUGAGACCCUUUAAUACAUUUCCUCAUGUUGUGGUGACACCUGACCAUAAAAUUAUUUCAUUGCUACUUCAUAACUGUAAUUUUUCUACUGUUAUGAAUUGAAAUGUAAAUAUUUUUGGAGAUGGAAGGUUGCCAAAGGGGGUCAUGGCCCACAGGUUGAGAAACACUGAUCUAGCAGCUCCUUGCUUUAGAGCACAGUGGACUAUCUCUGGGACCUUCCCCAUUUCCAGCUGGCUGGGAUAGGUGUGGUAGGUGGAGUCAGUGCACCAUGUAUCAUGAGAAAGUCUCCAAAUAAAAUGGCAAUAACAUGAGGCAGGAAGAAUCUGGGACUGUGUUACUGUGGGCACACAAGUCAGCCACAUCACCUCACACUCUACCCUGAGACAUAAACUAGCUUCACUCUGGUUUGGCUUACUGCCAUAUUUGUUCCGUUGGAUAUAACUGAGUCCUGUGGAUUAGGUGAGGACCAUGACUAUGGCUGCAUGGCCACAGGAGGAGACUCUAGGGGCAGGGCUCACUCUUCUUAUAGACUCUAGGAGUGGGGACCUUCCUCUCUGUCCCCUGGAUGUUCUUGUGAUGAUCAUGGAGUUGACACAGUCACGUUCCCAUUCAGGGGACCACUAAAAAAUGAUGAAAGGAAAUCCAGCAAAUCUGUCUGAGGGUGGAGAGGAACAGCCAGGAUGGAGGAGCAGAAUGACAUCCCCAACCUACUUCAUAAAAAAUGCCCAUGUCUGUCUCUGUGGCAUGGAACAGUAACUUCCCAGAGCCAGUCUGCCAGCUGUUGGUAAAGGAACCUUGUAAGUCCUACAGCUUGGAGACCCUGGUGGGCCGUGCUGGGCUCCCAGCUGCAGGCAGCUGUAGCACCUCAGUUUCCUCCCACUUGGGUGCAGGGGCUUUGGCUCCUCUGCAGUCUACAACCCUCUGCUACCUCCAGCCAGGCAAGCUGAGGCCCGCUGGCAUCUGCUCCUCCCCCAGGUCAGGGUUUAUCAGGCAUCUACUGUCCGUGAACUAUCCAACCCUCUGGACUCUGCUAGCUUAUCUGCAGAUAAGCUACUGUCUCUAACAGUCUCUAUACACGAUCUUCAUGUGAAUCAAAUCAGAUAAUGGAUUAUUUGAAAGCAGACUGUGCAGCUGACUUUACGGGAACGGGAAGUGAGUUUGUGAGGAUGAAUGAAUGAUCAACGUAUCUCUGUAAUCCGAGAACCUGAGACAGGGCCUAACACCAGGCAGAUGCUCUGUAAAUACAGGGGAAUGUGAGCUGUGACCAAUUAGGACCCUGAAAUUCCUUCAAGCCACAGAGAUUGACUGAUGGAUGGCAGAGCCCCAUCAAUAAACUGGUCAAGGUGAGUCCAGGGCUUUGUGCAGCUAGAAUGAGAUGAAGGCCCUACUCUGCACCCCACGACUGUAUGUGUGGCAUGCUGGAAUGACUGGAAUAAUGCCACACAAAUUGAGAGGAUUCCCAAGAAUAUUCCCCCAAAAGGAAACAGACCCCAACCACAGAAAAUAAAGCUUAUCUCUGAAGGCCCUGGAUCAAGCCACACCUAUAGUCUUCAGUUCUAUGUAGCCCUUCUUCAGUUCUUCCUUGAGAGGGUUUGUGACUCCUUGUUGAGUAACUGAAGGGCAUCAGUGAGCACAUGUCCUAGUUUGCUGCUGUUUGUUUGCUUGCUUGUUUGUUUGUUUUAGAUGCAGCCCCCCCCCCACCUCCGAGGCUGGCCUGUAACUCACUAUGCAGACCAGGCUGGCCUCAAACUCAUAGAGAUCCACCCCGCUUUGUCUCCCGAGUCUAAUUUUCUUUCUAUUCUGUGCUAAAACAUGACCAAAAACAACUUGGGGAGGAAAGGAUUUGUUUGGCUCAGACUUCCACAUCACACACAGCCUAUCACUGGGGGAAGUCAGGGCAGGAACUCAAGCAAGAGCAGAGACAGGAACCGUGGAGGGGGGCUGCUUACUGGCACACUCCUUCUGGCUUGCUUACCCUGCUUUCUUAUACAACCCAGGGCCGCCUGCCCAGGUAUGGCACCACCCACGCUGGAAUGGACCCUCCCACAUCAAUUGUUAAUCAAGAAAACACCCCUUGCAUACAGUCCAAACUGAUGGAGGCAAUCCCUCAGCUGAGAUUCCCUCUUCCCAGAGGACUCUAGCUUGUGUCAAGGUGACAAAACUAUUUAACCAGCACAGUGGUCCCUCUGUUCCUGUCCAUGGCAUCACUCCUGCUGCAUUGUGGGUAGGGAAGUGCUGGUGGCGGUCUUGGUUUUGCAUGGAGGUAGUUUCACAGGUGUCCCCUUUACUAUGGGAAUUAAAAGGUGACCAGAAGCCUUCCCUGCCCUUGGCAUACUAUAGAGAUUUCCAAAACAGACCAAUGCAGAGGUAUUUAGACUCAACCCAAGCUCUGUCAUGUGACAUGCCCUCAGGUCUCCUAGGGAUCUCGAUAGAGAAACCCUGAUGGGCACAAACCUGUCUAAGCCGUUCUCCUUCAAACCUGAGGGUGCCAUACCAGUUUCUUGCAGCCUACAAGACAUCCAGGACAUCACGGGCUGGAGCCGACCAACAUGGAGAGGCAGACACUCCCAGAUGGAACCGAACAUCCAUAUCCUGGGUCUGGUUGCUCUGUGGUCCAGCAGAUUCCCUGCUAGGUUGGCUCCCCAGAGAAGAGACUCCAAGAAAGUUCUGAAGCAGGCAUCUCUUUGGAAAGUGAAGGGGCAGGAUGAGCAGGGAAGGCUGGGGAGGGCUGGGGAGGGCUGGGGAGGGCUGGGGAGGGCUG